rnacentral:ribozyme from 1 species
CACCGAACCGGCGAUGCCACCGCCCCCCGCACGCCGCCCAACAGAACUCUCCGUGCCGCCGGCCUCCGCGAUCGAACGCUACUGCGAGCUCCCCCAGGACGACGACG